CCCCCAUUGCAUAUAAUGCCUUCAAACUCGACAAUAAUGGGACUCUACAAGCAGGCAGCAACCCAAGAUGACCAUUUGCAAAGUUCCAAGCAAAUAUCCAACUUUAACGUUACCAGCCGUUGAUCCUGACCAUGUAACUUGCAUAUUACACAUUUCCUCAGCAUAAUUAGAGAAUUGAGAUAAUAAACUUCUUCUUUCUUCCUCUUCUUCCUUUUUUCUUUUUUUUUUUUUUUUUUUUCAAUGAAAAAGAGUUUUUUCUUGCUCAGGGAAACAUGCCCCAGUUAAGGAUACAGCGAAAUACGGAAGUCAAUGCAAUGUAUCUGCACUGCUGAAGAAUCUGAAAUUCAUGCACNGCAGGAACUGAACUUUUCGAAGCACACUGGUGCAAAUUAAUGACCUUUCAAAGGCCCAAUCAAAGAAAACGUGGAAAAAGCAG
rnacentral:misc_RNA from 1 species